AUGGCUGCCGAAUGGACUGAUGAGAACACCCGGAUCAUCGUCGAGUUGUUUGUCAAACAAUUGUGGGCUGGAAAUAUGCCAAACACUCAUUUGACACCCAAUGCAUAUGACGAUGUGGGAAAGGAGUUCCUGAUGAGAACUGGACUUGAGUACACGCAUAAGCAAGUGAGAAACAAAUGGGACAAGUUAAAACGUGAGUACAACCUAUUCAAGCAGCUCAAGCACCGCGAGACGGGUGGGGGUGGGACUUUGAGAAAAACACGGUGA
rnacentral:rRNA from 1 species